rnacentral:rRNA from 1 species
AACGAACGCUGGCGGCAUGCCUAACACAUGCAAGUCGAACGAGACCUUCGGGUCUAGUGGCGCACGGGUGCGUAACGCGUGGGAACCUGCCCUUAGGUUCGGAAUAAAUCCCCGAAAGGGGUGCUAAUACCGGAUAAUGUCUUCGGACCAAAGAUUUAUCGCCUUUGGAUGGGCCCGCGUUGGAUUAGCUAGUUGGUAGGGUAAAAGCCUACCAAGGCGACGAUCCAUAGCUGGUCUGAGAGGGUGAUCAGCCACACUGGGACUGAGACACGGCCCAGACUCCUACGGGAGGCAGCAGUGGGGAAUAUUGGACAAUGGGCGAAAGCCUGAUCCAGCAAUGCCGCGUGAGUGAUGAAGGCCUUAGGGUUGUAAAGCUCUUUUACCCGGGAUGAUAAUGACAGUACCGGGAGAAUAAGCUCCGGCUAACUCCGUG